GCUCAAAUUUAAAAUCUGGCGGUCUUUGGCCGUCCGAGUUGUAGUCUGGAGAAGUGCUUUCCGCGCUGGACCGUGUACAAGUCUCUUGGAACAGAGCGUCAUAGAGGGUGAGAAUCCCGUCUUUGACACGGACUACCAGUGCUUUGUGAUGCGCUCUCAAAGAGUCGAGUUGUUUGGGAAUGCAGCUCAAAAUGGGUGGUAAAUUCCAUCUAAAGCUAAAUAUUGGCGAGAGACCGAUAGCGAACAAGUACCGUGAGGGAAAGAUGAAAAGCACUUUGGAAAGAGAGUUAAACAGUACGUGAAAUUGCUGAAAGGGAAACGCUUGAAGUCAGUCGCGUUCGCCAGGACUCACCCUUGCUUUAGCUUGGUGCAUUUUCUGGUUGACGGGCCAGCAUCGAUUUUGGUUGUCGGAAAAAGGCAGGGGGAAUGUGGCAUCUUCGGAUGUGUUAUAGCCCUCAGUCACAUACGACAGCUGGGAUCGAGGACCGCAGCACGCCUUUAUGGCCGGGGUUCGCCCACGUUCGUGCUUAGGAUGCUGGCAUAAUGGCUUUAAACGAC
rnacentral:rRNA from 1 species